UACGGAGGGUGCGAGCGUUGUUCGGAAUUAUUGGGCGUAAAGCGCGCGUAGGCGGCUCGUUAAGUCUCACUGUGAAAGCCCGGGGCUCAACCCCGCGGACUGCAGGGGAUACUGGGGAGCUGGAGACAGGUAGAGGCUAACGGAAUUCCGGGUGUAGCGGUGGAAUGCGUAGAGAUCCGGAAGAACACCAGAGGCGAAGGCGGUUAGCUGGACCUGGUCUGACGCUGAGGCGCGAAAGCGUGGGGAGCGAACAGG
rnacentral:rRNA from 1 species